GUAGGUGAACCUGCGGAAGGAUCAUUAUUGAAUAAACUUGAACAGGCUGUUUUGCUGGCCCCCCUCGUGGGGUAAGUGCACGCUUGUCAUCUUUGUUUCUCCCAACUGUGCACAUAUUGUAGACCCUGGAUUGAGGAUUGCCAUGUGGGCUUUCCUUGCAUUUUUCUCCAGGUCUAUUCACAAUCUCUGAAUGUCAUUAGAAUGUUUGUUGGAAAUAUAUAUAUACAACUCUCAGCAAUGGAUCUCUUGG
rnacentral:misc_RNA from 1 species